rnacentral:rRNA from 1 species
AUUGAACGCUGGCGGCAGGCUUAACACAUGCAAGUCGAACGAUGAUUUCCCAGCUUGCUGGGAACGAUUAGUGGCGGACGGGUGAGUAACAUUUAGGAAUCUGCCUAGUAGUGGGGGAUAGCUCGGGGAAACUCGAAUUAAUACCGCAUACGACCUACGGGUGAAAGGGGGCGCAAGCUCUUGCUAUUAGAUGAGCCUAAAUCAGAUUAGCUAGUUGGUGGGGUAAAGGCCCACCAAGGCGACGAUCUGUAACUGGUCUGAGAGGAUGAUCAGUCACACCGGAACUGAGACACGGUCCGGACUCCUACGGGAGGCAGCAGUGGGGAAUAUUGGACAAUGGGGGCAACCCUGAUCCAGCCAUGCCGCGUGUGUGAAGAAGGCCUUUUGGUUGUAAAGCACUUUAAGCAGGGAGGAGAGGCUAAUGGUUAAUACCCAUUAGAUUAGACGUUACCUGCAGAAUAAGCACCGGCUAACUCUGUGCCAGCAGCCGCGGUAAUACAGAGGGUGCGAGCGUUAAUCGGAAUUACUGGGCGUAAAGCGAGUGUAGGUGGCUCAUUAAGUCACAUGUGAAAUCCCCGGGCUUAACCUGGGAACUGCAUGUGAUACUGGUGGUGCUAGAAUAUGUGAGAGGGAAGUAGAAUUCCAGGUGUAGCGGUGAAAUGCGUAGAGAUCUGGAGGAAUACCGAUGGCGAAGGCAGCUUCCUGGCAUAAUAUUGACACUGAGAUUCGAAAGCGUGGGUAGCAAACAGGAUUAGAUACCCUGGUAGUCCACGCCGUAAACGAUGUCUACUAGCCGUUGGGGUCCUUGAGACUUUAGUGGCGCAGUUAACGCGAUAAGUAGACCGCCUGGGGAGUACGGCCGCAAGGUUAAAACUCAAAUGAAUUGACGGGGGCCCGCACAAGCGGUGGAGCAUGUGGUUUAAUUCGAUGCAACGCGAAGAACCUUACCUAGUCUUGACAUAGUGAGAAUCCUGCAGAGAUGCGGGAGUGCCUUCGGGAAUUCACAUACAGGUGCUGCAUGGCUGUCGUCAGCUCGUGUCGUGAGAUGUUGGGUUAAGUCCCGCAACGAGCGCAACCCUUUUCCUUAUUUGCCAGCGGGUUAAGCCGGGAACUUUAAGGAUACUGCCAGUGACAAACUGGAGGAAGGCGGGGACGACGUCAAGUCAUCAUGGCCCUUACGACCAGGGCUACACACGUGCUACAAUGGUAGGUACAGAGGGUUGCUACACAGCGAUGUGAUGCUAAUCUCAAAAAGCCUAUCGUAGUCCGGAUUGGAGUCUGCAACUCGACUCCAUGAAGUCGGAAUCGCUAGUAAUCGCAGAUCAGAAUGCUGCGGUGAAUACGUUCCCGGGCCU